GAUGAAGAACGUAGCGAAAUGCGAUAAGUAAUGUGAAUUGCAGAAUUCAGUGAAUCAUCGAAUCUUUGAACGCACAUUGCGCCCCUUGGUAUUCCGAGGGGCAUGCCUGUUCGAGCGUCAUUAUCACCCCUCAAGCUUUGCUUGGUGUUGGGGCCUGCUGUAAUAGGCAGCCCUUAAAAUCAGUGGCGGUGCUUCAAGGCUCUAAGCGUAGUAAUUCUCCUCGCUAUAGUGUCUAGUGGUUGCCAGCCAGAACCCCCCAAUUUUCAUGAUUGACCUCGGAUCAGGUAGGGAUACCCGCUGAACUUAAGCAUAUCAAUAGCGGAGGA
rnacentral:misc_RNA from 1 species